UACAGAGGUCUCAAGCGUUGUUCGGAUUCAUUGGGCGUAAAGGGUGCGUAGGUGGUGAUGCAAGUCUGGUGUGAAAUCUCGAAGCUCAACUCCGAAAUUGCACCGGAUACUGCGUGACUCGAGGACUGUAGAGGAGAUCGGAAUUCACGGUGUAGCAGUGAAAUGCGUAGAUAUCGUGAGGAAGACCAGUUGCGAAGGCGGAUCUCUGGGCAGUUCCUGACACUGAGGCACGAAGGCCAGGGGAGCAAACGGG
rnacentral:rRNA from 1 species